GCACCCGCGGUAAUUCCAGCACCAAUAGCGUAUAUUAAUGCUGCUGCUGUUAAAAAGCUCGUAGUUGGAUCAAGAGUCGGACAGUGCACGGUGGCCCUGUUUGUGUGGUUGGCUCCGGUCAGCCAGACGGCAGCGGAACAACCCCGUGCAUUAAACUGUCCGCUCUAACAGACCGAAGCGGUUCUCUGUGAGUAGGCUCCUUAAUUGGGGCUGAAAGCGCCUACGCAUCAACCAUAUGCAUACGAGACGUCGGUCAAUGUUACUGUGAACAAACCAGCGUGUCCAAAGCAGGCUUUCGCCUGAAUGUUCGAGCAUGGAAUAACAAGGGAUCGAUUCUCUCGGUUCUUUUUGUCGGUUUUUAACCCGAGAAGGAGUAAUUCAGGCCACGGUGUCUGAGUUGGGUUUCCCUGGGCUUCGGCUCAGGCCCCAAUUAGGCCGUGUCCUUACGGGAUCAAUAGGGACUGACGGGGUCGUACCUACUUCCGCGUCAGAGGUGAAAUUCUUAGAUCGCGGGAAGAGGAACUUCUGCGAAAGCAUUCGACAAGAAUGUCUUCAUUAAUCAAGAACGAGAGUGUGGGGAUCGAAGAUGAUCAGAUACCGUCGUAGUCCACUACUGUAAACAAUGCCGUCUCAGGAUUGAGAAGUGAACAGAAUGACUUUCACAGCACUAACCCCUGAAACGAGAAAUCAAAGAUUAUGGGUUCAGGGGGGAGUACAUUCGCAAGGCUGAAACUUAAAGGAAUUGACGGAAUGACACCACAAGGCGUGGAGUAUGCGGCUUAAUUUGACUCAACACGGGGAAUUUUACUAGGUCAGGACAAUGUAAGGAUUGACAGAUUGAGAGCUCUUUCUCGAUCCAUUGUGUGGUGGUGCAUGGCCGCUCCUGGUUGGUGGAGUGAUUUGUCUGGUUGAUUCCGUUAACGAACGAGAUCUCGACCCUUAAAUAGGUGCGCAUGUCGAUUGUAGCUUCAUUUCCGCCAGCUUGCUGGAUUGGAUUGGGGCGAGACUGUGCGAAUACUUCUUAAGGGGACUGUGUGCGUCUCUAGCACGCGGAAGAGCGAGCCAAUAGCAGGUCUGUGAUGCUCCUAAAUGUCCUAGGCUGCACGCGCACUACACUGAUGCAAUAAACGAGUCUGAGUGCCUUCUGGCAACCUACCUGGAAGCGGGUGGGAAAUCUUUUGAACUGCAUCGUGAUGAG
rnacentral:rRNA from 1 species